rnacentral:lncRNA from 1 species
UGAUAUAUAACAAAGGAGUUGUCUCUACUUCGUUAUCUUUACCGAUGAUCAGUCAUGGUAUGAGUAAGUAUAUGAGACAUAAAUCUGAAAUUUUUGAAAGGUUCAAAGAAUUCAGAUGUAAAGUAGAGAAGAAAUUGAAAAAUUCCUAAAGGUACUUCAAUCGAAUCGAGGAUGCAAUAUCAAAGAAAGAAAUUUUUUGAUUAUCUAAUAAUAUGGCAUAGUUUCAUAUUAGACCCCUCUUAGUAUAUCUCAGCU